rnacentral:rRNA from 1 species
UGGUGGAGUGAUUUGUCUGGUUAAUUCCGUUAACGAACGAGACCUCAGCCUAUUAAUUAGGUUCAUCAAUCUUACGAUUGUUGAAGCUUCUUAGAGGGACUAUCGGAUUCACAGCCGAUGGAAGUAUGAGGCAAUAACA